rnacentral:rRNA from 1 species
UGAAUACGAGAUGCUACGGCGUCGAAGCAGUCUAUGUCAUACUUCCAAGAAAAGCUUGCACUGUCAUAAACAAAUAAUGCCUGUACCAUAACCGACACAGGUGGGUAGGUAGAGUAUACUAAGGGGCGCGAGAUAACUCUCUCUAAGGAACUCGGCAAAAUGACUCCGUAACUUCGGGAGAAGGAGUGCCUUAUUUAUAAGGUUGCAAUAACAAGAUCCAAGCAACUGUUUACCAAAAACACAGGUCUCCGCUAAGUCGUAAGACGAUGUAUGGGGGCUGACGCCUGCCCAGUGCCAGAAGGUUAAAGAAGUUGGUUAGCAUCCGCGAAGCUGAUAACUGAAGCCCUGGUGAACGGCGGCCGUAACUAUAACGGUCCUAAGGUAGCGAAAUUCCUUGUCGGGUAAGUUCCGACCCGCACGAAAGGCGUAAUGAUUUGGAUACUGUCUCGGAGAGGGGCUCGGUGAAAUAGACUUGUCUGUGAAGAUGCGGACUACCUGCACCAGGACAGAAAGACCCUAUGAAGCUUUACUGUAACCUGAAAUUGAAAUUGGACUUUACUUGCGCAGUAUAGGUGGGAGGCGUUGAGAAUAUUCUUGCGGGAUUAUUGGAGCCAUCAGUGAGAUACCACUCUUGUAAUGUUAGAUUUCUAACUUUGUAUCAUUAUCUGGUCAAAGAACAGUUUCAGGCGGGCAGUUUGACUGGGGCGGUCGCCUCCUAAACGGUAACGGAGGCGCACAAAGGUUUCCUCUGAACGGGUAGAAAUCGUAUCUAGAGUGCAAAGGCAUAAGGAAGCUUGACUGUGAGACCUACAAGUCGAGCAGGGACGAAAGUCGGUCUUAGUGAUCUGACGGUGCUGAGUGGAAAGGCCGUCACUCAACGGAUAAAAGUUACUCUAAGGAUAACAGGCUGAUCUCCCCCAAGAGUUCACAUCGACGGGGAGGUUUGGCACCUCGAUGUCGGCUCAUCGCAUCCUGGGGCGGUAGUACGUCCCAAGGGUUGGGCUGUUCGCCCAUGAAAGCGGUACGCGAGCUGGGUUCAGAACGUCGUGAGACAGUUCGGUCCAUAUCCGGUGUAGGCGUUAGAAUAUUGAGAGGAGCCUUCUUUAGUACGAGAGGACCGAGAAGGACAUACCUCUGGUGUACCAGUUAUCGUGCCAACGGUAAACGCUGGGUAGCUAUGUGUGGAGUGGAUAACCGCUGAAAGCAUCUAAGUGGGAAGCCCACCUCAAGAUAAGUAUUCUC